rnacentral:rRNA from 1 species
UGGGGAAUUGUUCGCAAUGGGCGCAAGCCUGACGACGCAACGCCGCGUGGAGGAUGAAGGUCUUCGGAUUGUAAACUCCUGUUGCCCGGGACGAAUGACUCUGACCUAACACGUCGGAGUGUGACGGUACCGGGUGAGGAAGCCCCGGCUAACUCUGUGCCAGCAGCCGCGGUAAUACAGAGGGGGCAAGCGUUGUUCGGAAUUACUGGGCGUAAAGGGCGCGUAGGCGGCCUGCUAAGUCGGACGUGAAAUCCCCGGGCUCAACCCGGGAACUGCGUCCGAUACUGGUUGGCUUGAAUCCGGGAGAGGGAUGCGGAAUUCCAGGUGUAGCGGUGAAAUGCGUAGAUAUCUGGAGGAACACCGGUGGCGAAGGCGGCAUCCUGGACCGGCAUUGACGCUGAGGCGCGAAAGCCAGGGGAGCAAACGGGAUUAGAUACCCCGGUAGUCCUGGCCCUAAACGAUGAAUGCUUGGUGUAGCGGGUAUCGAUCCCUGCUGUGCCGAAGCUAACGCAUUAAGCAUUCCGCCUGGGGAGUACGGUCGCAAGGCUGA